AAAAAAGGAAAAGAACCAAGGGGGGAGAGUUCUUGUAAUAUACCAGAUUUUGGUAAAAAAAAAAUAAAAAUAAAAAUAAAAAUAGUGUGGGAUACUAUUUUUAUUGGAUUUAGAGAAGUAAAACAUAAGUCAGAAUUGAUUUGUGCUGAAAUCGGAAUGAAAACAGAAGAUUUAGAAUUUUCUGUUGGAAACGAGACAGAUAAAUUAGCAAAAAAUGCAUAGUCUCAGAAAAUUAUGAAAAUUGGAGGAUAAGUCAGAAAUAUUUUUAUGAGGCUAGAUUUAAAGUUUCAUAUUUUUCUGACAUCCGAAAGUUGAGAAAUAAAAUCCGAAAGCUAGCUGAUAAAGAUUACAGUUCGGUACAGUUUUCGGUGACCAAACGGGGUCGAAACUGAAAACUUAAAGUAUAUUCUUGUUCAGUACGUUAAACCGAAUACGACUGUCAAAUUUGAGCUCAAACGGAUACUCUGGAAGUUCCGACGAAAGAUAUCAAAUUUUAAGUUGCCUGGAAUGAAUAGUGUCGGGGUGUAAUUAAUUAAAGAAGCUAAUUAGCUUCUUCUCCUCCAUCAGCCGACCACCAUGGCCGACACACCCACACACACGCACGCAUGGAUGGGGAAGAGAAACUCCCCUUUCUCUCUCUAAAUAUCUCUCUCAUCUCUCUAUAUCUCUCUUUAAAAAUUGGAGGGUUGGUGGAGUCGAGUCUGCGAACGCGUUGGAGGCGACGGAUCGAGCUUUCGUGCGCCCGUUGGAGCGGCGUGUUUUCGUUGCGGCGUUCACAUUGGGGUAAGCUUUUGGGAUUUGGUUUAAUCCUUAGCUUUAAGUGCACUAAUAGCCUCUAAUGAGCAUUGAUAGCAUGUUGUUCCAUUUAAUUGGGAUUAUUUGGAGGUUAAUUCAUGUUAGGGCUCAAAAAUACUAAUUUUGAAAAUAUGAGGGUUUGAUCUAAUUUAACCCUCCGUAAACCAAAUUGCUAGGUAAACGAACGCGUUGGAGAAGACGGUUCGGCAAUCCGACGAGCCGUUACAAAGUUGUUAAAGAAACGGACGUUUAGGCUUCGUUACCGCCUGGAGGGCCGAGGCGACGUCGUAAAAUCAUGGAAAUGAAUUUGAAGCACCGUGGCACAUAACCGAAGACCUUUAACUUUCGGAUCGUGGAUCGGAGGCCGUUCGGGUGGUUGCGCAAAAGAUCGGGCCAAACCGGGUUACGGGUGCUACGGGAGGCCGAUUGCAAGUGUCGACAAGCAAUCGGAAAGCGUUUUGAGGUGGGUUGUGCUCACCGAAGCGAUUAGGUCGCUUUCCAUGCUAAAGUGUAGUAUGUUUACUAUUGAUGCAUGAUAAAGUAUGCUAUUUAAGAAUGCAUGAUAAAGAUUAAAGUAUGCUAUUUAAGAAUGCAUGAUAAAGAUUAAAGUAUGCUAUUUAAGAAUGCAUGAUAAAGAUAGAUGUCAAGUAAAUACAUGAGUUGAUGUUAAUUUACAUGAGUAUAUUAUAAAAAUGCUAAACAGAUGUCAAACGUAAGUAUGAGAUUUAUACUAACCGAGAAUGCAUGUGGUAAAUGUUAAUGAAUGCAUAAAAUGCUAAGUGAUGACUACCAAUGGAUGACAAAAUAUCC
rnacentral:lncRNA from 1 species